AGAGUUUGAUCAUGGCUCAGAACGAACGUUAGCGGCGCGCCUAAUACAUGCAAGUCGUGCGAGAAAGGGCUUCGGCCCCGGUACAGCGGCGCACGGGUGAGUAACACGUAGGUAAUCUUCCCUCGAAUGGUGGAUAACCCUCCGAAAGGAGAGCUAAUACAGCAUAAGACCACGACCUCGUUGAGGUUGCGGCCAAAGCAGGCCUCUACUUGUAAGCUUGCGUUUGAGGAUGAGCCUGCGGCCCAUCAGCUAGUUGGUAGGGUAAUGGCCUACCAAGGCUUAGACGGGUAGCUGGUCUGAGAGGAUGAACAGCCACACUGGAACUGAGACACGGUCCAGACUCCUACGGGAGGCAGCAGUAGGGAAUCUUGCGCAAUGGGCGAAAGCCUGACGCAGCGACGCCGCGUGAGCGAUGAAGGCCUUCGGGUUGUAAAGCUCUGUGGGGAGGGAAGAAUAAGGGCGAGCUAAUACCUCGUUCGAUGACGGUACCUCCUUAGCAAGCACCGGCUAACUCUGUGCCAGCAGCCGCGGUAAGACAGAGGGUGCAAACGUUGUUCGGAAUUACUGGGCGUAAAGCGCGUGUAGGCGGCUGUGUAAGUCGGGCGUGAAAUCCCACGGCUCAACCGUGGAAGUGCACCCGAAACUGCGCAGCUAGAGUCCUGGAGAGGAAGGUGGAAUGCUUGGUGUAGAGGUGAAAUUCGUAGAUAUCAAGCGGAACACCGGUGGCGAAGGCGGCCUUCUGGACAGUGACUGACGCUGAGACGCGAAAGCGUGGGGAGCAAACAGGAUUAGAUACCCUAGUAGUCC
rnacentral:rRNA from 1 species